rnacentral:rRNA from 1 species
CAAUAGCGUAUAUUAAAGUUGUUGCGGUUAAAAAGCUCGUAGUUGGAUUUCUGCCGAGGACGACCGGUCCGCCCUCUGGGUGAGUAUCUGGCUCGGCCUGGGCAUCUUCUUGGAGAACGUAACUGCACUUGACUGUGUGGUGCGGUAUCCAGGACUUUUACUUUGAGGAAAUUAGAGUGUUUCAAGCAGGCACACGCCUUGAAUACAUUAGCAUGGAAUAAUAAUAUAGGGCCUCGGUUCUAUUUUGUUGGUUUCUAGAACUGAGGUAAUGAUUAAUAGGGAUAAUUGGGGGCAUUCGUAUUAACGCGUCAGAGGUGAAAUUCUUGGAUUGCGUUACGACGAACUACUGCGAAAGCAUUUGCCAAGGAUGUUUUCAUUGAUCAAGAACGAAAGUGUGGGGAUCGAAGAUGAUCAGAUACCAU